rnacentral:tmRNA from 1 species
AUAUAAACGCAAACGAUAAUUACGAAUUAGCAGCUGCUUAAUUGCAGCUCUUGUCGGCUCUAGGCAUCCUGCGGCUUAGAAUCCCGGCAUCAAAUUAGCGGGGACCUCCAUCUUCAAAGCUUUGAGAGGGUGGAAGAUAUAUGAAGCUACCAAAACCGGAAGCCUGUCAAUCGGCGUUCGGUAGAGGGAACAGUGUGGUAACGCCACACAUAAAAGACUGACUGUAAUGGGAGAGACUGCAAUGGAAGGGCUUUCGGACGCGGGUUCGACUCCCGCCAGCUCCAUUG